UUUUUAAAGUCUGACCUGCCCACUGAAAUUAUUUAAAUGGCCGCAGUAUUUUAACUGUGCAAAGGUAGCAUAAUCAUUAGUCUUUUAAUUGAAGGCUGGUAUGAACGGUUGGACGAGGUAUAAGCUGUUUCAUAUAAAUUUAUAAUAGAAUUUUAUAUUUUAGUCAAAAAGCUAAAAUAUAUUUAAAAGACGAGAAGACCCUAUAAAUCUUUAUAUUUUGUGUUGUUUAAAUUUUUUGGAAUCGGUUUAUUUUUAUAAUAUAAAAUAUUUUGUUGGGGUGAUAUUAAAAUUUAAUUAACUUUUAAUUAUUUAAAAUCAUUAAUUUAUGAGUUAUUGAUCCAUUAAUAGUGAUUAUAAGAUUAAGUUACUUUAGGGAUAACAGCGUAAUUUUUUUGGAGAGUUCAUAUCGAUAAAAAAGUUUGCGACCUCGAUGUUGGAUUAAGAUAUAAUUUUAGGUGUAGUCGCUUAAAU
rnacentral:rRNA from 1 species